rnacentral:rRNA from 1 species
UAGAGUUUGAUCCUGGCUCAGGAUGAACGCUAGCUACAGGCUUAACACAUGCAAGUCGAGGGGCAUCAUGGAGUUUGCUUGCAAACUCUGAUGGCGACCGGCGCACGGGUGAGUAACGCGUAUCCAACCUUCCCUAUAGUAGAGGAUAGCCCGGCGAAAGUCGGAUUAAUACUCUAUGUUUUCCGUUGCAGACAUCUAAGAUGGAACAAAGGCUUGCCGCUAUAGGAUGGGGAUGCGUCUGAUUAGGUAGUCGGCGGGGUAACGGCCCACCGAGCCAUCGAUCAGUAGGGGUUCUGAGAGGAAGGUCCCCCACAUUGGAACUGAGACACGGUCCAAACUCCUACGGGAGGCAGCAGUGAGGAAUAUUGGUCAAUGGGCGAGAGCCUGAACCAGCCAAGUAGCGUGCAGGAUGACGGCCCUAUGGGUUGUAAACUGCUUUUAUGCGGGGAUAAAGUUCACUACGUGUAGUGUUUUGUAGGUACCGCAUGAAUAAGGACCGGCUAAUUCCGUGCCAGCAGCCGCGGUAAUACGGAAGGUCCGGGCGUUAUCCGGAUUUAUUGGGUUUAAAGGGAGCGCAGGCCGAUGGUUAAGCGUGACGUGAAAUGUAGCCGCUCAACGGCUGAGUUGCGUCGCGAACUGGCUGUCUUGAGUGAGUUCGAUGUGGGCGGAAUUCGUGGUGUAGCGGUGAAAUGCUUAGAUAUCACGAAGAACUCCGAUUGCGAAGGCAGCCCACAAGGCCUUUACUGACGCUAAAGCUCGAAGGUGCGGGUAUCGAACAGGAUUAGAUACCCUGGUAGUCCGCACGGUAAACGAUGGAUGCCCGCUGUUUGCGAUAUAUUGUGAGCGGCCAAGAGAAAUCGUUAAGCAUCCCACCUGGGGAGUACGCCGGCAACGGUGAAACUCAAAGGAAUUGACGGGGGCCCGCACAAGCGGAGGAGCAUGUGGUUUAAUUCGAUGAUACGCGAGGAACCUUACCCAGACUCAAAUGCAGAUAGAAUUAUUCAGAGAUGGAUAAGCCCUUCGGGGCUAUUUGCAAGGUGCUGCAUGGUUGUCGUCAGCUCGUGCCGUGAGGUGUCAGGUUAAGUCCUAUAACGAGCGCAACCCUUACGUCCAGUUGCCAGCGGGUAAAGCCGGGGACUCUGGAGGGACUGCCGGCGCAAGCCGAGAGGAAGGUGGGGAUGACGUCAAAUCAGCACGGCCCUUACGUCUGGGGCGACACACGUGCUACAAUGGCCGGUACAGAGGGCAGCGAGCCUGUGAGGGUAAGCGAAUCUCGAAAGCCGGUCUCAGUUCGGAUCGGAGUCUGCAACUCGACUCCGUGAAGUUGGAUUCGCUAGUAAUCGCGCAUCAGCCAUGGCGCGGUGAAUACGUUCCCGGGCCUUGUACUCACCGCCCGUCA